UAUGCCCUGGGCGACACACGUGCUACAAUGGGCGGGACAAAGGGUCGCGAUCUCGCGAGGGUGAGCUAACUCCAAAAACCCGUCCUCAGUUCGGAUUGCAGGCUGCAACUCGCCUGCAUGAAGCAGGAAUCGCUAGUAAUCGCCGGUCAGCCACACGGCGGUGAAUCCGUUCCCGGGCCUUGUACACACCGCCCGUCACACUAUAGGAGCUGGCCAUGUUUGAAGUCAUUACCCUUAACCGUAAGGAGGGGGAUGCCUAAGGCUAGGCUUGCGACUGG
rnacentral:ncRNA from 1 species